CCAGACUCCUACGGGAGGCAGCAGUGGGGAAUAUUGCACAAUGGGGGGAACCCUGAUGCAGCAAUGCCGCGUGAAGGAUGAAGGUUUUCGGAUUGUAAACUUCUUUUGUACGGGACGAAGAAAGUGACGGUACCGUAAGAAUAAGCCACGGCUAACUACGUGCCAGCAGCCGCGGUAAAACGUAGGGGGCGAGCGUUGUCCGGAAUGACUGGGCGUAAAGGGUGCGUAGGCGGCAUAAUAAGUUAGAAGUGAAAUACCCAGAGCUUAACUCGGGUGCUGCUUCUAAGACUGUUGAGCUUGAGUGCGGGAGAGGUUAAUGGAAUUCCUAGUGUAGCGGUGGAAUGCGUAGAUAUUAGGAGGAACACCAGAGGCGAAGGCGAUUAACUGGACCGUAACUGACGCUGAGGCACGAAAGUGUGGGUAGCAAACAGGAUUAGAUACCCCUGUACUA
rnacentral:rRNA from 1 species